rnacentral:lncRNA from 1 species
GGACCCUGACUUUGUGACUCAACCCUCUAGCUGUGCCCUUAGGAAUGUAUUCUAACGUCAUCCAAGGAGGAUGGGUGACAAGAUCUACAAGAGGUUUUUGGAAAGAAUCUGUGUUCCGUUGGAGAACAAGUCAAGAGGAGAGACUUUGAAAAGCUGGGCUUGAAACGGCAUGAUGCCCUCCAAAUCAAAUGUAUACAGUGGUUUCAGACAGCCAGG